rnacentral:tRNA from 1 species
GGAAAAUCCGUCGACUUUAUAAAUCGUGAGGGUUCAAGUCCUCCUAUCCCCCA